GACGAACGCUGGCGGCGUGCUUAACACAUGCAAGUCGAACGAUGAACUUGGAGCUUGCUCUGGGGGAUUAGUGGCGAACGGGUGAGUAACACGUGAGCAACCUGCCCUGGACUCUGGGAUAACUUCGAGAAAUCGGAGCUGAUACCGGAUAGGACCCUGUACCGCAUGGUGUGGGGUGGAAAGUUUUUUCGGUCUGGGAUGGACUCGCGGCCUAUCAGCUUGUUGGUGAGGUAAUGGCUCACCAAGGCGUCGACGGGUAGCCGGCCUGAGAGGGUGACCGGCCACACUGGGACUGAGACACGGCCCAGACUCCUACGGGAGGCAGCAGUGGGGAAUAUUGCACAAUGGGCGCAAGCCUGAUGCAGCAACGCCGCGUGCGGGAUGACGGCCUUCGGGUUGUAAACCGCUUUUAGUAAGGAAGAAGGGGAGCUUGCUCCUUGACGGUACUUGCAGAAAAAGGACCGGCUAACUACGUGCCAGCAGCCGCAGUAAAAC
rnacentral:rRNA from 1 species